CCUACGGGGGGCUGCAGUGGGGAAUAUUGCGCAAUGGGGGAAACCCUGACGCAGCAACGCCGCGUGAAGGAUGAAGGUUUUCGGAUCGUAAACUUCUUUGAUGGGGGACGAAAAAAAUGACGGUACCCCAAAAACAAGCCACGGCUAACUACGUGCCAGCAGCCGCGGUAAUACGUAGGUGGCGAGCGUUGUCCGGAAUUACUGGGUGUAAAGGGCGUGUAGGCGGGAAUUCAAGUCAGAUGUGAAAUGCCGAGGCUUAACUUCGGAGCUGCAUCUGAAACUGAGUUUCUUGAGUGUCGGAGAGGAAAGUGGAAUUCCCAGUGUAGCGGUGAAAUGCGUAGAUAUUGGGAGGAACACCAGUGGCGAAGGCGACUUUCUGGACGAUAACUGACGCUGAGGCGCGAAAGCGUGGGGAGCAAACAGGAUUAGAUACCCCUGUAGUC
rnacentral:rRNA from 1 species